rnacentral:rRNA from 1 species
UACGGAGGAUGCAAGCGUUAUCCGGAUUUAUUGGGUUUAAAGGGUGCGCAGGUUGUUUGAUAAGUCAGUGGUGAAAGUCUGUCGCUUAACGGUAGGAUUGCCAUUGAUACUGUUGGACUUGAAUAUGGAUGAGGUAGGCGGAAUGUGUAGUGUAGCGGUGAAAUGCAUAGAUAUUACACAGAACACCGAUUGCGAAGGCAGCUUACUAAUCCAUCAUUGACGCUGAGGAACGAAAGCGUGGGGAUCAAACAGGA